rnacentral:piRNA from 1 species
UGCUAUGAACAUAGUGGAGCAUGUGUCCU